rnacentral:rRNA from 1 species
GAUUGAACGCUGGCGGCAGGCCUAACACAUGCAAGUCGAACGGUAACAGGAAGCAGCUUGCUGCUUCGCUGACGAGUGGCGGACGGGUGAGUAAUGUCUGGGAAACUGCCUGAUGGAGGGGGAUAACUACUGGAAACGGUAGCUAAUACCGCAUAACGUCGCAAGACCAAAGAGGGGGACCUUCGGGCCUCUUGCCAUCGGAUGUGCCCAGAUGGGAUUAGCUAGUAGGUGGGGUAACGGCUCACCUAGGCGACGAUCCCUAGCUGGUCUGAGAGGAUGACCAGCCACACUGGAACUGAGACACGGUCCAGACUCCUACGGGAGGCAGCAGUGGGGAAUAUUGCACAAUGGGCGCAAGCCUGAUGCAGCCAUGCCGCGUGUAUGAAGAAGGCCUUCGGGUUGUAAAGUACUUUCAGCGGGGAGGAAGGGAGUAAAGUUAAUACCUUUGCUCAUUGACGUUACCCGCAGAAGAAGCACCGGCUAACUCCGU